GGAAAUUGAAGUCUAAUAUGUCAAACAAUUGAUGCACAAAUUUAAUCAAGGUACACCAAGACCUCUGGCUUCUUCCCAGACAGCUGCUAAAUAUCAGCAAGGACAUGGCUAGAGAUCUUGAUUCUUGCUUUUUUUGAUGUUUCUAUGAAAGAACCGAGAGAGAUUUAUUCAGCAGGCAGUGUUUCCAAUGAGUGAAUUUUCUUUAAUAACUCCAAAUUCUUCAGGGAAAACUUUCACCCACACAGCAGUGUUGACUGCUGGUGCCCUGAGGGAAUUACGGCACAUAGUAAUAAAAGAUGUAUAGAAUUUCUACAUUAGCAACGUGAAGUCCAGCCCAGCACCCUAGUAUGGAGGACAGAUGGAGUUCCAGAAGGUAGAAGCCCAUACUGGAACUGGGGGCAGUGGAGGGGAUGCCAUGUGGAAAAUUGGUUGCCAAACUGAGGCCUCAGAAAUGAAUGUGAAAUAAACCUUCUCCUUCACAAAUA
rnacentral:antisense_RNA from 1 species